GUCUUUAAGAAAUUAAUUUAAAGUCAAAUCUGCCCAAUGAUAUAACUUAUUUAAUGGCUGCAGAAUUUUAACUGUACAAAGGUAGCAUAAUAAUUUGUUUUUUAAUUAAAAACUAGAAUGAAAGAUUUAAUGAAAUAUAAACUUUUUCAAUUAAUUUUUUUCUUAAAAUUUUUAUUUAAGUAAAAAAACUUAAAUAAAUUUUAAAGACGACAAGACCCUAUAGAAUUUUAUUUAAUAAAUUUUAAAUUAAAAUUUAUUAAAUUUUAUUGGGAGAAUAAAAAAAUUUAAUUAAUUUUUUUUAAAAAUUACAUAAUUUAAUGACUUAUAUAUAUCUUAAUUUUUAAAUUAAAAAAAUUAAUUACCUUAGGGAUAACAGCAUAAUUUUUUUUAAAAGAUCUUAUUAAUAAAAAAGAUUAU
rnacentral:rRNA from 1 species